rnacentral:rRNA from 1 species
UAGUAACGGCGAGUGAAGUGGGAUGAGCUCAAAUUUAAAAUCUGGUAGUCUUUGGCUGCCCGAGUUGUAAUCUAGAGAAGUGUUUUCUGUGCUGGACUGUGUUCAAGUUUCCUGGAUAUGGAACAUCAUAGAGGGUGAGAAUCCCGUCUUUGAUACAGACUCCCAGUGCUCUGUGAUACACUCUCAACGAGUCGAGUUGUUUGGGAUUGCAGCUCAAAAUGGGAGGUAAAUUCCUUCUAAAGCUAAAUAUUGGCGAGAGACCGAUAGCGAACAAGUACCGUGAGGGAAAGAUGAAAAGCACUUUGGAAAGAGAGUUAAACAGUACGUGAAAUUGUUAAAAGGGAAACAAUUGAAGUCAGUUGCAUCUACUUGGACUCAGCCUUACUUUGGUUUGGUGCAUUUCCUUGUGGAUGGGCCAGUGUUCAUGUUAAUUGCUGGAAAAGGGGCUAGGGAAUGUGGCUCUCUUUUGGGAGUGUUUAUAGCCUUGGCUCAUAUACAGUGAUUUUAAUAUGGAGUGGUACAGCAUGCUUCGGUGGUGCUUGUGCUGGCAUAAUGGCUUUAAAUGACCCGUCUUGAAACACGGACCAAGGAGUCUAACAUGUCUGCAAGUAUUUGGGUGAUAAACCCAAGUGCGUAAUGAAAGUGAUAGCUGGGAACCCUGUAAAGGGGGCACUAGUACCCCGAGCGGAUCUUCUGUGAUGCAUCGGAGGUAGAGCAUAUAUGUUGGGA